UACGUAGGGAGCAAGCGUUGUCCGGAAUCAUUGGGCGUAAAGCGCGCGUAGGUGGCUUCAUAAGUCCGUUGUGAAAGUCAAGGGCUCAACUCUUGAAAGCCGGUUGAUACUGUCGGGCUAGAGUCCGGAAGAGGCGAGUGGAAUUCCCGGUGUAGCGGUGAAAUGCGCAGAUAUCGGGAGGAACACCAAUGGCGAAGGCAGCUCGCUGGGACGGUACUGACGCUGAGACGCGAAAGCGUGGGGAGCAAACAGG
rnacentral:rRNA from 1 species